rnacentral:lncRNA from 1 species
CUCAGUGCGUUAAGGAUCCCGUUGCCCCUGGUUGGGAAAGUGCGAGUAGCAACUGUGACGUGCGCCGGACUCCUCCCGCCGAAGGGGAGUGAGAAGGGGAGUUGUGCCCUGGGGACAAGUUCUAAUUGAGCGGCUGGAGAGGAAUCCUCCAGUAAUAGCUCGCCUGCCCCUCCGUUCAGUCCCCGCCCGAAGUCCUGCCCAAGUGGGAAGGAGGAAGGAACCGGCGCGCUUGCAUCAUGAGCACCUCGAACUCAGAGACGCCGACACCGGAUCCCUGAGCGCUGACCCCGAGCGCAGAGACCUUGGCCAAGGGGCCGCUUUGCAGCCACGGCUGGUGACGCCAGAAAUCGAGAGGAGUUUCGAGAGACAACUGAGGGGUGGAAACCGAAACCCCGAGGAGGGAGUUCUCAGAACUUUUCUGCUGGUUGCAAACACCUACGAUCUCCCAACCCGUGAGGGCAGCACUGGGCGGACACACCCCGACGGGGAUGCUCUUAGCCUCCGGGAGGCUCUAGGCGGGCCCCAGGCCUCCCGGGCGGAGGACCGCGCCCCACCGACCGCAGGCCUCAGAGCCCAGAGACGGGGCUUCCUCAGGCUUGGACAAAAGACUUUGGAAGGUACUCCGUGGUGGAAGUGUAGACACAGCCCAGGCUCCUUUUUUCUGGCUAGUCUCCUGAGACUGCUGCGGGGAAUGUCACUGACUCACACUACAGGUCUACUUUUGCUGACACUGCUGCUGCUGCUAAAACCCAGGAAGACUCUGCGCUGUGAGUGUCCUGGGAUCUGGAGACCUGGCAGGCGGGUGGGGGGGUUCCUGGCAGGUGGUUGCCUGUCCACCUCUUCUUAGGAGGACAGUGAUGUCACUUACAGCCAUUAUGCAGGGACCCAGGCUAAAGCACUGUCCCUGGUCCUAUGUUCAUGCGACAGCUCUCCCUGUCCUGACAAGUGCCACCUUCUACCCCCGGAAGCCUUUCCUGAGUACCUAGACCCAUUAUGAAUGUAGUAUAUGUGGCAUGGUGUUUUUUUCCCUUUUUUGAAACUUCUGUCUCUUCAUACAAAUUUUAAGUCCCUGGAGGAUAAUUAUAUUUUUGGAACCUCAGAAGUUGUUACACAACACCAAAAACAUCUGUCAGAUGAAAACAUCUGGCAACCCUGUAUGUACCUGAAGGAUCACGGUGGCCUCCCGGCAUCUCCCUAAACCUGAGACCGUUAAAGGGGGGGCAGGACAGAGGCCACAGCAGCCACAGUGGGACCUCGCAUGGACACCCCACCUCUGCAGCCAGGCCCUUCAGGGGGGUCUCCGGGGACACACCUGUGCUUUUGACUCACAGAUGCUCACUCGCUCUGCCUCGACUUCGCUGUCACAUCUCAGUCCAGACCCGGACAGCCCUGGUGUGAAGUCCAGGGCUCAAUGGACACAAAGCCUCUCCUCCAGUAUGACAGUGACAGCAACCAGGUCACAGCUUCGGUCCCCCUGGGGAAGAAGGUAAAUGGCACCAAAGCAUGGAGAGACUUGACUGGAACCCUGGGAGGAGUGGGCGAGAGCUCAGAAUGGUCCUGCAUGUCAUCCAGCUGGGGACAGAGGAGACCACGGGUGAGUAUGGGGAGGGGGUGGGGAGGUGGGGGACAGUGAGCAAGGGA